rnacentral:SRP_RNA from 1 species
CCGUGCCAGGCGGGGAGCUAGCGGUGCCCUGUAACUCACAAUCCGCUAUAGUGAGGCCGAUAAACAGAUGCGAGGUUUACAAUAGUAAGGUUUAGCGCCUGUAUAAGUAGCGUUGAAAGCCGGGUCUUGUGCGGCGGAGGGUUACAAACCCCGCCAGGUCCGAGAGGAAGCAGCGGUAAGUAACAUUCUCCGGGUGCCACAGGGAAGCCUGGCUGGAGCCAACUGUACCGGCAGCACUUGUUGUUAUAAAUCGAAAUCUGCGGCACGG